rnacentral:rRNA from 1 species
UACGGAGGGUGCAAGCGUUGUUCGGAAUUAUUGGGCGUGAAGGGCGUGUAGGUGGCUCGCCAAGUCUGGUGUGAAAGCCCACGGCUCAACCGUGGAACUGCAUUGGAAACUGGCGAGCUCGAGUAUUGGAGGGGGUCGCGGAAUUCCCGGUGUAGAGGUGAAAUUCGUAGAUAUCGGGAGGAACACCAGUGGCGAAGGCGGCGACCUGGCCAAUUACUGACACUGAGACGCGAAAGCGUGGGGAGCAAACAGG